rnacentral:rRNA from 1 species
AUUGAACGCUGGCGGCAUGCCUUACACAUGCAAGUCGAACGGUAACAGGUCUUCGGAUGCUGACGAGUGGCGAACGGGUGAGUAAUACAUCGGAACGUGCCCGAUCGUGGGGGAUAACUACUCGAAAGAGUAGCUAAUACCGCAUACGAUCUACGGAUGAAAGCGGGGGAUCUUCGGACCUCGUGCGGACGGAGCGGCCGAGGGCAGAUUAGGUAGUUGGUGGGAUAAAAGCUUACCAAGCCGACGAUCUGUAGCUGGUCUGAGAGGACGACCAGCCACACUUGGACUGCGACACGGCCCAGACUCCUACGGGAGGCAGCAGUGGGGAAUUUUGGACAAUGGGCGAAAGCCUGAUCCAGCAAUGCCGCGUGCAGGAUGGAGGCCUUCGGGUUGUAAACUGCUUUUGUACGGAACGAAAAGACUCCUUCUAAUACAGGGGGUCCAUGACGGUACCGUAAGAAUAAGCACCGGCUAACUACGUGCCAGCCGCCGCAGUAAGAC